GAAAAGCCCCGCCCCUUUUCCUUACAUCUCAGCCGACUUCGCGAGUAAACCGGCAAAUCAGAGACAGCGCUGACGCAAGUUUAUGAAUAUUAAUCAGCCCUUCCUUCGCGAUAUGUGAUUGGCUGAGGAAGCCUUUAUUAAGAUGAGGAAGACGAGGAAGACGAUCACAAAUACCCAGCUGCAGAUUGAGCUGUUGAAGAUCCUGAAGAACAUGUUCCUGUUUCAGAAGAAGAUGACUAAGGAGCAGAUCAAACACAAAUACAUAAAGAAGGACGAAACAGAUACAGCAAGAUCUUACAGGAGACCGGAUUUACUGCUGGCAUCUAUCCCGGAUGAUUUCAGAAUCCCUGUUUGCUGUGUAACAAAUUAAAGGAACAUUAAAGCAAACAGAGAUCAAAUAAAGAGCUUCUGUUGCUACAUUGAUUGAUUAGAUUCUGAAUUGAGCAGGUCAGGUGG